AAGGGUCCGUAGGCGGACUCGUAAGUCAGUGGUGAAAUCUCAUUAGCUUAACUAUGAAACUGCCAUUGAUACUGCGGGUCUUGAGUAAGGUAGAGGUAGCUGGAAUAAGUAGUGUAGCGGUGAAAUGCAUAGAUAUUACUUAGAACACCAAUUGCGAAGGCAGGUUACCAUGUCUUAACUGACGCUGAUGGACGAAAGCGUGGGGAGCGAACAGGAUUAGAUACCCGGGU
rnacentral:rRNA from 1 species